CAAGGGUACAUGAAUAGAGUGAACCACCACUGACUGCUAUGUGUGAAUUAUUCAUAGAGCGUAAGUGCGUAAAUUGAGAUUUUAUCUUCUUCGUAUAAGUAAAUUGAGUAAAUGGAUUUGCAAGUUUAGGCAUGAGUGAUAUGAGACUGAAGAUAACACAUGAGUAAACGGGAUUCUCUACUAAAUGCUUGUUUAUACGCACUUUAGAUAGUUGAAAACAUCUCAACAAACAAUUACAUCUACAAACAUUCUUAUUAAUAACUCAUUAGAAAAUAUGAUAUAUUGUUAGGAUUUUU
rnacentral:lncRNA from 1 species